UGCUGGUAAAAAUCCCUCAUCCUGCAUAUAUUAAAAUCUAAAAUAGGGCUUUGUCCCAGAUAAAUCGGCUUCCAAUAAAGAACUAAACAAACACAAAUAUAUUGUGCUCAAUUCUUGAAGCCCAAAGGACGAGCUUUUGAUCUAUUGCAGGUCUUUGCCAAGCUUGGUAAAUGAAAAGUCAACUACCCGUUAACCGGCUUUCCAAAUUUAAAACGAGACGUCAUGUUGUUUACAAAAAUUUAAGUCCGCCCACGCAAAACCCCAAACAUUAUUUUCGUUUCAGUUUCUACAUCGAGUCAUGCAAAAUUACUAAUAAAACCUUAAAACACCACCACUCGGUAAUCAAAACGCCCGAGACAUAUCACAACUUAAUCUCGCCAGUAAAUCGAAGACAGUCAACAACCGAGUUUGAACCGCAACCUAAAGUUAUGUUAACCGAUUACAACACAAUUGGCAUAACAAACGUUCUAACAAAACUUGCCUCGGCAGAUCCCGUUUUAAAACAAAGGGGUCUAUCCCGCCAUAUUCGACAAUUUAAUAUUCACUUCAAUAUUCAAGUUCCCAUUUGACUUCUACUUGUGUCAAGUCAUGUUCUCUGGCUGAUCUCUAGCACAAACGUUAUACGGGCUACAAUACGCUCUACACCAUUACCGCAAGUCUACACGAGAGCGUGCAAAAUGACAACAAAACGGAGGUAAGUCAAUUACCAAAACAGCGACAAACAAAUUGACAUAAAAGUUCCUCAGAACUUUCAGCUGGAGUUAAGUUCAAAACUCGUUUGUCCUCUUAAAUGGAUGUACCUCUAUAUGCAAAAGGAAUCAAUAAUUUCUUGCAAUAUUUCAUUUUCGUGUCAAAGAUUUUAAAAUGAUGAGCAUUUUUUUCCUUGCUGCAGUAUCCAAGAUGGAUGGUUUAUUUGGGUCAAGGAAACACGAGUGCGGACUGGAAUGAUAUUACGAUUAACAACCAUUCCAAACCUCAGACACGAGGAUGUGUGCUAGACCGUAAUACUGACCGGAUUGAACAACAAAAUACACAGAAUGACACCUUCACACUAACAACAACCUAACCAGCUUUGAACGUUUUUGCAGACGAAAGAACAGAAUGACAGACGUUAAAAAUUGACAACAGAUGAAAGAGAGUUAGUAUGGAUUAGACAGAACGUUGUCGAAGAAGUGGACAUGCUUUAGACAAACUUAGACGAUUUUUUAAAGCCUCGUCACGCGACGAUUGACGUGACGACCGUCGUGACGACCGUCGUGACGACCCAGAGAACACUGCACAUUCCGUUGCCUGGAUAUGUAAUUUACAUGUACAACUUGAACUGGCAAAAUGUUUCUCAAUCCAGUCAACAUUUAAGACUAAAGAAUAAAGACUAAAGGCUCUCCAGCAUUCUCCUCCUUUUUGGAAUGAACCUGUCAAUCAGCCUCCUAACCAACCUUUAUUUGGGCUCGUCACGCAAUCAGCUUACUGACGUCACACAGGACAAGAUACAAUUACAAAUAAGGGAUCUGAACAAGAGAUGGCAGGAAAUCGCGAGUAUACCAGAGUUAUGAUGACAACACUGAUAUUCUCACAAGAUCCUAUAUUAGACCUGGAGAUCAGUGGUGAAGAAGCUGACACAAUAAGGAUUUUAGAUGAGAUUAUGGUUGAACUUGAUUACAUGCCUUCCCAGCAAGAUGCCCAGG